AGUCAUCACUAUGAUUGGGAAAGAAGCCAAAAUUAUAAUAAAAUGAAAACCUGUGCAUCAAAUCUGAAGGAUGAGUAUAAAAUAGGAUAAACAGUCUUAAAUGAAGAAAUUCAAAAAUAGGAAGCUGAAUUACUUCUCUGAGGAUGUCUUGUCACUAAAACAUGGAGAAUCCAACCUACCCUGCGUAGUUGUGGAAUCCCUCAGAUGACAGCAGUGAAGAUUAUUAAUGAAGAUGUUAAAUAAGAAGAAAGCAACAUCCUUCCCCAUGUACUGCAGUUGAAUUACUAAUCACUUCACGAAUGCUGAAGAAAGCAUUUUAAAAAAGUUUUUUCUGCAAUAUAUACAACCUACACUGAAAAAUCUUAAGCUAUAUGUACUUCAUUCAAUUCAUUCAUGCAUACGAAUAUUCAAAACCUUCAUUUAAGCUCAAAGGCCAUGGAGAUAAAAAAGAAGACAAAUUAACCAGUUGACAAGGACCUAGCUGUCCAAUGUGUUGACUUUGUUGUUACACAAUAUAGUCAAUUCUCAUUAUUCACCAAUUCUGUGUUUGCAAAUUCCCCUAUUUACAAAACUUUAUCUGUAAACCCAAAACUAAUACUCACAAUGCAUCCAUAGACGUGUGCAGAGCAGUGGAAAAUUUGAAAAGUUGCCUGAUGCUCACAUUUUCAGCUAAGGUGAACUUUGCCUGCUUGUCUCAGUUCUCAUACUAUAAACAAG
rnacentral:lncRNA from 10 species